rnacentral:rRNA from 1 species
UACAGAGGGUGCGAGCGUUAAUCGGAAUUACUGGGCGUAAAGCGCGCGUAGACGGUUUUGUAAGUCAGAUGUGAAAUCCCUGGGCUCAACCUGGGAACUGCAUUUGAGACUGCAUGGCUAGAGUAUGGAAGAGGGAAGUGGAAUUUCCGGUGUAGCGGUGAAAUGCGUAGAUAUCGGAAGGAACACCAGUGGCGAAAGCGACUUCCUGG